GAGCAGCAAAAGAAGAUAGCAGCAAAAGGUGAACUGAGAUACUUCUAGCUUCAAGGCAAGGCGUUUGACAGCUGUCUCAAAAAGGCUCGGGCUGUUGGAUGAAAAGAAAAAUAUUUCUAAAAACACAAACGAACGACGCCGCCUUCGGGG